UGAGGAAUAUUGGUCAAUGGACGCAAGUCUGAACCAGCCAAGUAGCGUGCAGGAUGAUGGCCCUAUGGGUUGUAAACUGCUUUUAUAUGGGGAUAAAGUGGGGAACGUGUUCCCUUUUGCAGGUACCAUAUGAAUAAGGACCGGCUAAUUCCGUGCCAGCAGCCGCGGUAAUACGGAAGGUUCGGGCGUUAUCCGGAUUUAUUGGGUUUAAAGGGAGCGUAGGCCGUUUGGUAAGCGUGUUGUGAAAUGUAGGAGCUCAACUUCUAGAUUGCAGCGCGAACUGUCAGACUUGAGUGCGCACAACGUAGGCGGAAUUCAUGGUGUAGCGGUGAAAUGCUUAGAUAUCAUGAAGAACUCCGAUUGCGAAGGCAGCUUACGGGGGCGCAACUGACGCUGAAGCUCGAAGGUGCGGGUAUCGAACAGG
rnacentral:rRNA from 1 species